AUGAACGCUGGCGGCGUGUCUAAUACAUGCAGGUCGAGCGCACAGACGAGGAGCUUGCUCCUCUGACGUUAGCGGCGGACGGGUGAGUAACACGUGGAUAACCUACCUAUAAGACUGGGAUAACUUCGGGAAACCGGAGCUAAUACCGGAUAAUAUAUUGAACCGCAUGGUUCAAUAGUGAAAGACGGUUUUGCUGUCACUUAUAGAUGGAUCCGCGCCGCAUUAGCUAGUUGGUAAGGUAACGGCUUACCAAGGCAACGAUGCGUAGCCGACCUGAGAGGGUGAUCGGCCACACUGGAACUGAGACACGGUCCAGACUCCUACGGGAGGCAGCAGUAGGGAAUCUUCCGCAAUGGGCGAAAGCCUGACGGAGCAACGCCGCGUGAGUGAUGAAGGUCUUCGGAUCGUAAAACUCUGUUAUUAGGGAAGAACAAAUGUGUAAGUAACUAUGCACGUCUUGACGGUACCUAAUCAGAAAGCCACGGCUAACUACGUG
rnacentral:rRNA from 1 species